UCAUGCCUACAGAUGUAUUGACUAACUUAUGCUUUUGAAAAUUAUUUUAUGGUUUGCCUAAAUUGAAAUAUACCUUUGCCUAUGUAAUGCAUAACCAAGAAAUACACAAGUUUAUGCUUCAAAUUUUGAUUUAAAAUAACUUGUAAUAAACUAUGAAUUCUUGAGCAUAAUGAAAAUGUUGUUUGCAUGAUAUACAUCUAUAUGAUGCAUUAGAUUAUUUCUUCAUUCUGCUCUUUCAUGUAAAUUACUUGAGACUAACAAAAAGAGAGAGAUAAAGAAAAGAAAAUGAACAUUAUUCAAGAAAAGUAAAAGCUAAGUAAAAGCAAAUACUCCAAUCUUAAAGAAAAGCAAAAUAAGCAUAAUAUAUUCGGCACAUUUGUGAGACUUGUGUGAGCAUUCUUUUGGAAGGAAUAAAAUCCGUAAUUAAUUACAUUUAAACAGG
rnacentral:lncRNA from 1 species